GAGACUCCGUCUCAAAAAAAAGAAUUAGGGGGUGAGAUAGAUGACAGAUGUGGUUAAUUGCAUUAUUCUUCCUGAUUUUUCACGCCUUCCUGUAUGCUUGUCUUAAGAUCUAGCACUUCUGUUCUCUGGGGUUGGAGGAUAUUGUCUUACUGUGUCUCUGUUGGACAUGGCCUUGUGAUUUGCCUCAGCCUUUGACCUUUGAGAUGUAGGUGGAAGCAACAAAGUGACAGUUCCAAGUCCCGACCAUAAGAAGCAUUGUGUAUUUCCAUUUGUGCUUCCAACCGUUCCCAUGACAAGAGCAUACCCUUGGAUAUAGCUGCUACUCUUUCGUCUUGGACCCCAGAAUGAACGUGUGGAUCUCCAGCCUCCCCACUAACCUGUGGGCCUGAGAACAAGAGCUCCCUGUUGCACUGCUGACUGAUACACAUAGUGCAAGCACAGCUGGCCCUCCAUACAGCUUGGGAAGAUGGAUCAAUAUGGCCUGUAGAGUAAGAAGACCUAUAUCCAGAUCUGCAUUUUACUGUUUUCUCUGGGGGGAUUGGAGAUAAUGCUGCAGAAAAGCCAAGUACACUCCCAAGGAUAGGAUUUGGCAGGAGCAGCUGCGACAGUGAGCUGGUGGAUCCCUGGCCAGGAGGGAGCACAAUGAUAAAAGAUUCAGGACUGUCAGAAAUGCUGGAUGCUGUAGAAAAGGAUUGGAUGAUGCCUUCUCACUGGCCCCAGGGCUCUUGGAAUUUGUUCUAGAGAAGCACAAAAAGAAGGGAGCAGGUGCUGGGAGCCACAUCUCAAGUUGAAAAGCAUACAGAACAAUUAUUUACUGAGAACUUGUGAAUGCCAAGAGCUGAUCAUGUGUGGCUGGAAUGAUGCUGGUGCUGUGUUCGUAGGUUUGCUUUGUCUCCAGCACCCCACUGGUCAAUAGGAACAAGGGAGCAAUUUUCAGAGUUAUUAGCUGUGUUUGAGCUGUGCUGUCUGCCAAAAGAAGAAGUGGCUUUUGGACGCAGAUUUUACCUCGGAUGUAAUGUGGAGAGACACGUUGACACCUCCCUCUGAUAAAGGUGCUUCCCAUUUCUACAGCCGGUUUACUGCGGUCUCCUCAUGAACAUGUUGUCAUCACGCCCAGUGUAACUGCUCCCUCCCUGCAGGAGUUUACUCUGCUACAUGGAUAAGCUAACAAAGGCUCAUCUGGAACUACAGGGUUACAUCUCUAGUGUCAUUGUAUGACACAGUGACUCAGAGAUGAUUUCCUCUUCAGAAAACAGAAGAAUUUUCUGACACAUUUAUCCAGAUUGGAUGAUAUGGAGAUGAACACCAGGACUAUUUUAGAAACUGCAUGUUGAAGACCACUGAGAUAUAAAACUUAGAAAAAAAAAGGUUCUGAAUCAAUGCCUUGUGAAGACAGUUGCACAGCUUUCAGUACUGUUACCAUAUGCGAGUGUUCAUGGGAACAGCCAUGCCUGGAUAAACCAGAUAAACUGAGGAAUCAAAAGGCAUAUUCAGACCAAGACUAAAGAGAACCUUCUUCACCUCCUCCAUACUUCUUCAAUAAGACCACUCAGGACACCUUAACUGCCUUGCUGCCUUUCUGGAAGAGAACAAUCCAAUAAUGAGAACAUCCUUGAGGAUCACAGAGUCCAGAGUCCCUAGAGAGAGGGAGAGCAAUCAUGUCUUCUAGACGGCAAGUUACUUACACAUAUGUCUAGAGAAGAACAAUCCAAUAAUGAGAGCAUCCUUGAGGAUCACAGAGUCCAGAGUCCCAGAGAGAGACAACAAUCAUGUCUUGUAGAUAGCGAGUUAAGAGACAUCAGUCGCAACUACUUCAGGCUGACUUGUGAUCAGAGACCACCCAAAAUGACAGCACGUAGAAAGUCCUGUGUGGCCCUGAUUGCACCUAUAGGACCAGGUGUUAGAGAAAUAGCUGGCUUCUAUCCAAGUUAAGUUCAAGUCUGUAGGACAAGGCAUUAGAAAAAUCAUUGGUCUGUAUUUGAGUUAAACUCAAGUCUGCAGGAGGGCUUCCUUUUGAUGCUCUUUGCCCUCAAGGAUAAGAAAUGGAAGGUAUGAACUGUGGGCCUUAUAUGGGACUAUACUUAGAAGGCACUCGGGAAACAGUCAGUGAAGGCAGAAAAGAAGGGGGACUUGUGAAACCAAAUCAAAGAUAAUUUCUCCAUGUUUUGGCUUGGCUGAUUUGGUAUUACUUAGGUGACAAGAGUAGAGAAGGGAAAUCAAAGAGUAGAAAGGGUAAUCAAAAGUGAUAUUCAGAUCCUUGAGAUAUCCAUUAGGCAUCUACAUAGAGAUGACUUACGGGCAGUUGUGCACAUAAAUCUGGACUUCUAGAGAGAGGUCAGAGCUGGAAGCUCUGGGUUAGGAAAAUAAGCAUGCCAAUGUCAUUUAAAGCCCAAGGGCUCGCAAGGUUAGCUAAGGAGAGUAUUCUGAGAGAGAGGAAAGGGGGCUAGAUCAAUCUUGGUCCUAUGCUGGUAUUCUUACAGUUAGGGCUUUAAUGGAGAAAGAACCAGAGAAGAUGCUGAGAAAAAGUCACCAAGAAUCUGGUGUGUAAAAAGGAUAGGGUGGUGUACUGGAAGUCAACAACAACAACAAAAGUGUUUUGAGGCAGAGGGGGU
rnacentral:lncRNA from 1 species